CAUCCUCUUCAAUUUUUCAAGUCACCAGCCUCUGCUGCUCUAUAUUCAUUAGUGUCUGGAGCCAAAUUCUAACCCGGUGCCACUAAGGGGAGCGACCUUUGCUGCUCACCAUGAGACAGGCAGCAUUUACCAGUCCAAAGAAACAGGAACCCCAAACAGUAUUUCUGAAGUGCUAGAGAAAAUCCACCCAGAUGAGAAUCUGUGGUCUAACGCAUGCCUGGAGUCACAAUGGAAGUUCGAGCCAGGACAUAGCCUACCAAGCUUUUAACAGGGAGCCAGAGGCAUCCUCUCUCUAACUUGUAGCCGCCUCCAACUUCAUUUUAGAGAAUUUGGCAGUAUAUCCAACCGGCCACACAACUGCAGACCAAGUGUAACCACGCCAGCCCAGGACCUCGACAUCUAUUUUCUUCACCUGCGGGAUCGUCUGAGACCAGCCACCCGGACAGCUGAUGAAACUGAGAAGUAUUUCUGUCUGUAAUAAAGCCCAUUUUCUGGGGGAAAAUUAAUUCUGAUUGGACUGGGCCUGGCUCCCAAGUGGGUGGGCCUCAUGGCUGUGCCCCUGCCCAGUAAUGUGAAAUCCAUAGA